UGGGAGAUCCUGUGCCAACCCCAACGU
rnacentral:piRNA from 1 species